rnacentral:rRNA from 1 species
UACGUAGGGUGCAAGCGUUGUCCGGAAUUAUUGGGCGUAAAGAGCUCGUAGGCGGUUUGUUGCGUCGGCUGUGAAAUCCCCAGGCUCAACCUCGGGUCUGCAGUCGAUACGAGCAAACUAGAGUGUUGCAGGGGAGACUGGAAUUCCUGGUGUAGCGGUGAAAUGCGCAGAUAUCAGGAGGAACACCGGUGGCGAAGGCGGGUCUCUGGGCAACAACUGACGCUGAGGAGCGAAAGCGUGGGGAGCGAACAGG